ACGGGAGGCAGCAGUGGGGAAUAUUAGGCAAUGGGGGCAACCCUGACCUAGCAACGCCGCGUGAAGGAAGAAGGCCUUCGGGUUGUAAACUUCUUUUAUAGGGGACGAAACGAAUGACGGUACCCUAUGAAUAAGCCACGGCUAACUACGUGCCAGCAGCCGCGGUAAUACGUAGGUGGCAAGCGUUGUCCGGAUUUACUGGGUGUAAAGGGCGCGUAGGCGGGAUUGCAAGUCAGAUGUGAAAUCCAUGGGCUCAACCCAUGAACUACAUUUGAAACUGUGGUUCGUGAGUAUCGGAGAGGCAAGCGGAAUACCUAGUGUAGCGGUGAAAUGCGUAGAUAUUAGGAGGAACACCAGUGGCGAAGGCGGCUUGCUGGACGAAAACUGACGCUGAGACGCGAAAGCGUGG
rnacentral:rRNA from 1 species